CCCUGUAGUUGACAAAUUACAUGUGACCAGAGUGCAGCCACAGCUAUCUUACUUUCCAUCCCUCAUUUGUGUCCAGGAAAGCAUCGCUUACUGACAUGUCAGACAGAGGGCUGGAGGCCAUUUUGUCCCUAACAGUGGAAGGAGAGGAGUGCCCCUUGCUGUGCAUCAGCCGCGAGUUCUCCAUGUGGGAGAUGAAGUACAGCACCAUUAAGAAGGAGUGCUUGGCCAUCAAAUGGGCGGUCCUUACCCUCCAUCAUUACCUGCUCAGAUCGCGCCCCACUCCAGUGGCUCCACCACAUGAAGGAUGCCCAGAUCACCUGUUGGUAUCUGGCUCUGCAACCUUUUAAGUUUGAGGUGGUCCACAGGCCAGGGGCACAGAUGGUGGUGGAAGACUACCUCUCCUGGUGGGGGGAGUCAGCUGCAGGUCGGAUGGCUCCCUGGCCUGAGUCAGAUGGUGGAAGUAUGUGGCGGUGGGGCCGUGGUCAAGGGCCAGUUUGUGAAUGGAGAGUGAAGCCAGGGAAGGCGAAUAGCAAAGUGGAAGCACUUGUGGUGAAUUAAUGUGCUGUGUUUGUGUGCAGUGACAAGCAGAAGAUAUAAAAGAGAGAGAGGAGCAGAAAGUGGUUGGUCUGCCCCUGGCUGAAAUCAUGCCCGUGCAUCAGCAUGCAACAUUUUAAAGUCCAUGGAAAAGUUUGUUUUGGUUGAGUUGUAGUUAAAUAAAACCAAAAAAGUAAACCUGAUCCUGCCUGCCUGUUCUUCAUCAUCCACCACUAUCAGGGAAACAUUACAACCACAUAACCAAAACCAUCAAGGACGUCAUCCUGAACUACUACGGGAACUUCAGGCUUAGUCACUUCUGGGAGCUCAACAUCUGACUGGCACUGGCUUGAGAAAGGGAUCAUAACUGGCUGUACACUCUCAGUUAUUCUCUUCAUUCUUGCCAUGAAUAUGGUGGUCAAGGCAGCUGAGACAGAGCGCAGAGGCCCCAUGUCCAAGUCUGGUAUCCAGCAGCCCCCCCAUCAGAGCCUAUACAGAUGACCUGACAGUCACCACUACAUCAGUGCCUGGCAGCAGAUCCUUCAGGGCCUGGUAAAGCUCAGCUCCUGGGCAAGAAUGAGCAUUAAACCAAUGAAAUCCAGGUCUAUGGUCCUGAAGAGAGGAGAAGUGGUGACCUUUGUGGAUGGCAUUUCUAUACCAUCUAUCAUUAAAUCACAUUACAGGCAUUUAGCAGACAUUCAUCCAGAGCGACAUACAACACACCCAGAGCAGCCUGGAGAGGAGUCGGUGGUUAGGUGCCUUGCUCAAGGGCACUUCAGCCAUUUCUGCUGGUCCAGGGACUCAAACCAGUGACCUUUUGGUCCCAAAGCUGCUUCUCUAACCAUUAGGUCAUGGCCUCCCCCAUCACUGAGAAACCAGUCAUGAGCCAAUACAAGAUCUUUAAAUGUAGCCUUAGGGACACAGAAUCUAUCCAGUCAACCAUCAAGAAGCUUGGCUGUCCACAAUAGACAAGUCUGGUUUAACUAGCAGGUUCAAGGCAUGGAUAUACCAACACGGCAUCUUGCCCCAAUUCCUCUGAUUCUGUUGGUGUAUGAGAGGACAAUGUCUAUAGUCGAGACCCUGGAGAGAAAGAUCAGCUGUUACAUCUGCAGAGCACUGAAGAUGAUUUAAGGGCCAAAACAGGCACAGGGAAGGCACACUCAGAGCCUCUACUGUCCCUGGGCACAUCAGUGUCAGUAAUACAGGGGUCUGUUUAAAAAAAAAAACAACACCAAAGUGAAAGUGCUGUCAGCUGGCAAGUGACUGAAGGGCUCCAUGUUUCGGGUGGCACGGCAUGUUGAGCUCCUGUGGCUAAUGCAGUGGCAUUUUUAGGCCCCAUCACACAGGGCUAUAUCCCCUGGGUAUUUUUGCCCUCAAAAAAGAUCAUUGGAAAUGGGGUGGCACCCCAGCGCCCCAUAGUAACCAGCCGCCACUGAUGACUACUGUGUUGCUGCUGUCAUGCCUUCACCUGCUGGAGCUCGUGCGCCUUUGGGACAAUUGAUCAUUGCACACACAUGUUACUAAUUUGAAAUGUAAUCAGCAUGCGCAUAAAAAGAGACACACAAACACACACACUGCGCAAAGUAUUGAGGUCACAGUGACCCUUACCAAGCCGUAUGUUCAUCUUGUCAUACUGGCUCUCGGCUUCAAUUCUGUUUUGGACUUCACCUUUUGUCUGUGCCUCACUCAACCCUUGCCUGUCUACUGUUACCUAUUUUGCCGACUGAUUUUGAUUGUUUGACUGCAUGGUUUUUAAUAAAAACUUUUCUGCAUUUC